GUUUGUUUACGGUUGCGGUAGACGGUGACGACUGACGAGUCAGUGUCCCCAUAAAACUGGGAUGCUCUCGAAUAGGAAUAUUGUAGCACUUCACCAGUAUCUGAGGAGGAUGUUGUAUAUGUUUAUGAUAAUAUUGUCUUCAUUCUUCGUGAUUUUGCCAGAACAUAUGAAAGUGAUUAUAUUCCGUCUUUAAAAUACUGUAAUUGGUUCUACUUUGACGUAUUUGAUGAUGGUUUGGGACAGCCUGCGAAUUUCCUAAGCAUUUCAUUCAUAUUAUGUUUAUGGUAACAAACCAUACAUGUUAUUUUACAUGAGCUUCUAAGUUUUCGCAUUGCGACAUGGAGAUAAAUCUUGCGAACAGUGUUUUUGCGCACAUACUUACGUUUAUUGUACUUUAUUUAUGAAUGAUAUAAGGCUGGUGUGUACAGAGAAAGUGACAUAAUUUUUGCUCUGCCCGAUAAAAUCUCUCUAGUUUCUGUGACAUCGUAAAAGGAACGGCUUUUACUGUGAUUUGUGUGAUUUUUUUACAGCAGUGUCCGCAUGGUAGUUCUGUAGUGCUGGAAUGGGGUGAUGUUGCAUGUUAGUGUUUUAAGGAAUGGAAUACGACCAUAAAAUAAUUGUUUGAGAGUUCUUGGGGCUGUACAUCUGUGAACACCUCAUGGUCCAGAGAUCUCCAAGAAAUUACAAGUGAUUUGGCUCCAGUCACCACCCGGGUGUUCCCGUGGAACAGUGACAGCCUAUGGUUCAUUGUCUCUGCUGCUACGCAUCGUCUCGUAUGAAACCAAAUUUUCUAGCUAAUCCUGGGCAGGCAUUGGGACACUCCGUGC